rnacentral:rRNA from 1 species
UACAGAGGGUGCAAGCGUUAAUCGGAUUUACUGGGCGUAAAGCGCGCGUAGGCGGCUAAUUAAGUCAAAUGUGAAAUCCCCGAGCUUAACUUGGGAAUUGCAUUCGAUACUGGUUAGCUAGAGUGUGGGAGAGGAUGGUAGAAUUCCAGGUGUAGCGGUGAAAUGCGUAGAGAUCUGGAGGAAUACCGAUGGCGAAGGCAGCCAUCUGGCCUAACACUGACGCUGAGGUGCGAAAGCAUGGGGAGCAACAGGG